rnacentral:rRNA from 1 species
GAUGAACGCUGGCGGCGUGCCUAAUACAUGCAAGUCGAGCGAACAGACGAGGCGCUUGCUCCUCUGACGUUAGCGGCGGACGGGUGAGUAACACGUGUAUAACCUACCUAUAAGACUGGGAUAACUUCGGGAAACCGGCGCUAAUACCGGAUAAUAUAUUGAACCGCAUGGUGCAAUAGUGAAAGACGGUGUUGCUGUCACUUAUAGAUGGAUCCGCGCCGCAUUAGCUGGUUGGGAAGUUAACGGCUUACCAAGGCGACGAUGCGUGGCCGACGGGAGAGGGUGGUAGGCCACACUGGAGCUUGGACGCGGUCCAGACGCCUGCGGGAGGGAGCAGUCGGGAAUGUGCCGCAACGGGCGGGAGCCUUGCGGAGCAACGCCGCGUGAGUGACGAAGGUCUUCGGAUCGUAAAACUCUGUUAUUAGGUAUGAACAACUGUGUACGUAACCAUGCACUUAUUGACGGUACCUGGUCAGAAAGCCACGGCUAACUACGUG